rnacentral:miRNA from 7 species
AGGUAAUCUAGUCCAACUUCCCUGCAAUGAACA